rnacentral:rRNA from 1 species
UAACGCCAAGAACCUUACCACCUUUUGACAUGCCCGGACCGCCACAGAGAUGUGGCUUUCCCUUCGGGGACUGGGACACAGGUGCUGCAUGGCUAUCGUCAGCUCGUGUCGUGAGAUGUUGGGUUAAGUCCCGCAACGAGCGCAACCCUCGCUGUUAGUUGCUACCAGGUUUGGCUGGGCACUCUAACAGGACCGCCGGUGGUAAGCCGGAGGAAGGUGGGGAUGACGUCAAGUCCUCAUGGCCCUUACAGGGUGGGCUACACACGUGCUACAAUGGCGACUACAGAGGGCUGCAAUCCCGCGAGGGGGAGCCAAUCCCUAAAAGUCGUCUCAGUUCGGAUUGCACUCUGCAACUCGAGUGCAUGAAGUUGGAAUCGCUAGUAAUCGCGGAUCAGCAUGCCGCGGUGAAUACGUUCCCGGGCCUUGUACACACCG